rnacentral:rRNA from 1 species
UACAGAGGGUGCGAGCGUUGCUCGGAAUCACUGGGCGUAAAGCGCACGUAGGCGGAUUCUUAAGUCGGUGGUGAAAUCCUGGAGCUCAACUCCAGAACUGCCUUCGAUACUGAGAGUCUUGAGUCCGGGAGAGGUGAGUGGAACUGCGAGUGUAGAGGUGAAAUUCGUAGAUAUUCGCAAGAACACCAGUGGCGAAGGCGGCUCACUGGCCCGGUACUGACGCUGAGGUGCGAAAGCGUGGGGGAGCAAACAGG